GCCAUGCUCGCGCCAAAGUAGACGCGCCUCAUUUGUUAACCCACGAAUAUUGAGAGCACGGUAGGAGUGGACAGGCGGAGGAAGCUACUAUUGCCUGUCCCAUAACUAUCCGUAGCUCUGCGGACUACUCGGGGUUCUCAUCGAACAGCAGCAGCAACAACGGCACCUCAGCAUUGUCGUCGGCUACAUUCUUCCUGGUCCGCACAGCUACAACAACAUAACCAUGGACCUCACAGCGCAGAUCGUAAAUCUCAUGGCACAUAUACAACAGACGCAACAGACGUUUGGAGCCGCAGCCUGCCAUAGCGUCUCCGCUACAAAUUAAACUUCCAGCACCACCUUUCGCAGUUUACAACAGCAAGGAAGAAGCGUGGCUGGACUAUGCAGCAUGCCUGGAACAGCACUUCCUCACCCACCAGAUAUCAGACUCAAAAGCAGGUGUCAACCCCGAGCAGCUCACAGGAUUUGACGCUGAUGCAGCACCUUCAGGGGCAGCCGACUACACCAGCCGUCCACAGCCGACACCCCCAGAGCAGAUGGGCAUCGAAGAAGAAUUAGAUUUAAACUAUGACCAAUGUACCGAUGUUGAAAUGCAAUUAUGUAAUAAAAUUUUUGCUUCUCCAGUUCCCUGUUCCGUAGGUUUUGAGUAGGUUUUCCUAGCGGACCGCACGGGGAGCAACAUGUGUGCACCCACAGACAUACGCACACCGGAAAGUAAGGAAGCAGAAAAUAAAGCCUUUUCAAGCAAACUUCAAAAGCUUUUUUUCUUCCCCCAGAAGGGAGGGAUGUUGUGUACGUAGUUCUGCAUAGUCAGCACAUACACAACUUUCCCACUAGAGCGCGUCCCGCUAAGCACAACAGCCCAGGCGCAGCACUCGCCCAUCUCCGCACUACGAGAUGGCGCUGUCUUAGAGACGGACCAAAUUCUGCUUCCGCCGAUUCGCGUAUUAAUAUGUAACACAGCCAAUGAGAUUGCUGC